rnacentral:rRNA from 1 species
UACGUAGGGGGCAAGCGUUGUCCGGAAUCAUUGGGCGUAAAGAGCGUGUAGGCGGCCCGAUAAGUCCGCUGUGAAAGUCCAGGGCUCAACCCUGGAAUGCCGGUGGAUACUGUCGGGCUCGAGUUCGGAAGAGGUGAGUGGAAUUCCUGGUGUAGCGGUGAAAUGCGCAGAUAUCAGGAGGAACACCAAUUGCGAAGGCAGCUCGCUGGGACGUUACUGACGCUGAGACGCGAAAGCGUGGGGAGCAAACAGG